AGUGAACGCUGGCGGUAGGCCUAACACAUGCAAGUCGAACGGCAGCACAGUAAGAGCUUGCUCUUACGGGUGGCGAGUGGCGGACGGGUGAGGAAUACAUCGGAAUCUACUUUUUCGUGGGGGAUAACGUAGGGAAACUUACGCUAAUACCGCAUACGACCUACGGGUGAAGGCAGGGGAUCUUCGGACCUUGCGCGAUUGAAUGAGCCGAUGUCGGAUUAGCUAGUUGGCGGGGUAAAGGCCCACCAAGGCGACGAUCCGUAGCUGGUCUGAGAGGAUGAUCAGCCACACUGGAACUGAGACACGGUCCAGACUCCUACGGGAGGCAGCAGUGGGGAAUGUUGGACAAUGGGCGCAAGCCUGAUCCAGCCAUACCGCGUGGGUGAAGAAGGCCUUCGGGUUGUAAAGCCCUUUUGUUGGGAAAGAAAAGCAGCAGGUUAAUACCCCGCUGUUCUGACGGUACCCAAAGAAUAAGCACCGGCUAACUUCGUG
rnacentral:rRNA from 1 species